rnacentral:rRNA from 1 species
UAGGGAAUCUUCGGCAAUGGACGCAAGUCUGAUGGAGCAACGCCGCGUGAGUGAAGAAGGUCUUCGGAUCGUAAAACUCUGUUGUUAGAGAAGAACGUGUGUGAGAGUGGAAAGUUCACACAGUGACGGUAACUUACCAGAAAGGGACGGCUAACUACGUGCCAG